rnacentral:rRNA from 1 species
AGAGUUUGAUCCUGGCUCAGAAUCAACGCUGGCGGCGUGCCUAACACAUGCAAGUCGUGCGCGAAAGGGGCUUCGGCCCUGAGUAGAGCGGCAAACGGGUGAGUAACGCGUGGGUGACCUACCCUCGAGUGGGGGAUAACAGUCCGAAAGGAUUGCUAAUACCGCAUGACAUCCCGUCCUUGGACGGAUGGAGAUCAAAGCCGGGGAUCGCAAGACCUGGCGCUUGAGGAGGGGCCCGCGUUCGAUUAGCUAGUUGGUGAGGUAACGGCUCACCAAGGCAACGAUCGAUAGCCGGCCUGAGAGGGCGGACGGCCACACUGGGACUGAGACACGGCCCAGACUCCUACGGGAGGCAGCAGUGGGGAAUUGUUCGCAAUGGGCGCAAGCCUGACGACGCAACGCCGCGUGGAGGAUGAAGAUCUUCGGGUCGUAAACUCCUGUCGACCGGGACGAAAUUCACGGGAGCUAACAUCUCUCGUGGUUGACGGUACCGGUGGAGGAAGCCCCGGCUAACUCCGUGCCAGCAGCCGCGGUAAUACGGGGGGGGCAAGCGUUGUUCGGAAUUACUGGGCGUAAAGGGCUCGUAGGCGGCCGCACAAGUCCGACGUGAAAUCCCUCGGCUCAACCGAGGAACUGCGUCGGAAACUAGGUGGCUUGAAUCCAAGAGAGGGAUGCGGAAUUCCAGGUGUAGCGGUGAAAUGCGUAGAUAUCUGGAGGAACACCGGUGGCGAAGGCGGCAUCCUGGAUUGGCAUUGACGCUGAGAGAGCGAAAGCCAGGGGAGCAAACGGGAUUAGAUACCCCGGUAGUCCUGGCCCUAAACUAUGAAUGCUUGGUGUGGUGGGUAUCGAUCCCCGCCGUGCCGAAGCUAACGCAUUAAGCAUUCCGCCUGGGGAGUACGGUCGCAAGGCUGAAACUCAAA